UACGGAGGGUGCGAGCGUUGUCCGGAAUCACUGGGCGUAAAGCGCACGUAGGCGGACUCUUAAGUCGGUGGUGAAAUCCUGGAGCUCAACUUCGGAACUGCCCUUGAUACAGCACGUCUUGAGUCCGAGAGAGGUGAGUGGAAUUCCUAGUGUAGAGGUGAAAUUCGUAGAUAUUAGGAAGAACACCGGUGGCGAAGGCGGCUCACUGGCUCGGUACUGACGCUGAGGUGCGAAAGCGUGGGGAGCAAACAGG
rnacentral:rRNA from 1 species